GCAUGGAUUAGGCAUGCAAGUCGAACGCGAAAGAGGGGGCAACCCCUCUAGUAGAGUGGCGAACGGGUGAGUAACGCGUGAAGAACCUGCCUUCAACAGGGGGAUAACACUCCUAACGGGGUGCUAAUACCGCAUGAGACCACGGGUCUGCAUGGACCUGAGGUCAAAGGUGGCCUCUGCUUGCAAGCUACCGGUUGAAGAUGGCUUCGCGUCCCAUUAGCUAGUUGGCGGUGUAAAAGACCACCAAGGCGACGAUGGGUAGCUGGUCUGAGAGGAUGGUCAGCCACACUGGGACUGAGAUACGGCCCAGACUCCUACAGGAGGCAGCAGUCGAGAGGCUUCGGCAAUGGGGGAAACCCUGACCGAGCGACGCCGCGUGGAGGAUGAAGGCCCCUGGGUUGUAAACUCCUUUUGCUGGGGAAGAAACCCGAUCAGGUGAACAAUCUGGUCGUUUGACGGUACCCGGCGAAUAAGCUCCGGCUAACUCCGUGCCAGCAGCCGCGGUAACACGGGGGGAGCAAGCGUUGUUCGGAAUCACUGGGCGUAAAGGGCGUGUAGGCGGUCAGGUAAGUGGGAUGUGAAAUCCCUCGGCUCACCCGAGGACCUGUAUCCCAAACUGCUUGGCUUGAGUAUGGGAGAGGAUGAGGGAAUUCCUGGUGUAGCGGUGAAAUGCGUAGAUAUCAGGAGGAACACCGGUGGCGAAAGCGCUCAUCUGGCCCAAUACUGACGCUGAGGCGCGAAAGCUAGGGGAGCAAACGGGAUUAGAUACCCCGGUAGUCCUAGCCGUAAACGGUGAUCACUAGGUGUUGGAGGCAUCGACCCCUCCAGUGCCGCAGCUAACGCAUUAAGUGAUCCGCCUGGGG
rnacentral:rRNA from 1 species